UAAGGAAUAUUGGUCAAUGGACGCAAGUCUGAACCAGCCAUGCCGCGUGAAGGAUGAAGGUCCUCUGGAUUGUAAACUUCUUUUAUAUGGGACGAAACCCGGGAAUUCUUUCCCGAUUGACGGUACCAUAAGAAUAAGCACCGGCUAACUCCGUGCCAGCAGCCGCGGUAAUACGGAGGGUGCAAGCGUUAUCCGGAUUCACUGGGUUUAAAGGGUGCGUAGGAGGGCAGGUAAGUCAGAGGUGAAAUCUCCGAGCUUAACUCGGAAACUGCCUUUGAUACUAUCUGUCUUGAAUAUUGUGGAGGUGAGCGGAAUAUGUCAUGUAGCGGUGAAAUGCUUAGAUAUGACAUAGAACACCAAUUGCGAAGGCAGCUCGCUACACAUAUAUUGACUCUGAGGCACGAAAGCGUGGGGAUCAAACAGG
rnacentral:rRNA from 1 species